rnacentral:rRNA from 1 species
CGAGUAAUGUCUGGGAAACUGCCCGAUGGAGGGGGAUAACUACUGGAAACGGUAGCUAAUACCGCAUAACGUCUUCGGACCAAAGUGGGGGACCUUCGGGCCUCACACCAUCGGAUGUGCCCAGAUGGGAUUAGCUAGUAGGUGGGGUAAUGGCUCACCUAGGCGACGAUCCCUAGCUGGUCUGAGAGGAUGACCAGCCACACUGGAACUGAGACACGGUCCAGACUCCUACGGGAGGCAGCAGUGGGGAAUAUUGCACAAUGGGCGCAAGCCUGAUGCAGCCAUGCCGCGUGUAUGAAGAAGGCCUUCGGGUUGUAAAGUACUUUCAGUGGGGAGGAAGGCGUUAAGGUUAAUAACCUUGGCGAUUGACGUUACCCCGCAGAAGAAGCACCGGCUAACUCCGUGCCAGCAGCCGCGGUAAUACGGAGGGUGCAAGCGUUAAUCGGAAUUACUGGGCGUAAAGCGCACGCAGGCGGUCUGUCAAGUCAGAUGUGAAAUCCCCCGGG